CGGACGGGUGAGUAAUGUCUGGGAAACUGCCUGAUGGAGGUGGAUAACUACUGGAAACGGUAGCUAAUACCGCAUAACGUCGCAAGACCAAAGAGGGGGACCUUCGGGCCUCUUGCCAUCGGAUGUGCCCAGAUGGUAUUAGCUAGUAGGUGGGGUAACGGCUCACCUAGGCGACGAUCCCUAGCUGGUCUGAGAGGAUGACCAGCCACACUGGAACUGAGACACGGUCCAG
rnacentral:rRNA from 1 species